rnacentral:rRNA from 1 species
CUUUUGACAACGGAUAUCUUGGUUCUCGCAACGAUGAAGAGCGCAGCGAAAUGCGAUACGUAAUGUGAAUUGCAGAAUUCAGUGAAUCAUCAAAUCCUUGAACGCAACUUGCGCUCGUGAGUCCUCUCACGAGCAUGCCUGUUUGAGUGUCGG